AUUGAACGCUGGCGGCAGGCCUAACACAUGCAAGUAGAGCGAGCGGAGGACGGGUGAGUAAUGUAUGGGGACUGCCCGAUAGAGGGGGAUAACUACUGGAAACGGUGGCUAAUACCGCAUACUAUCGGAUAACCCAUAUGGGAUUAGCGAGUAGGUAAGGUAAUGUCUUACCUAGGCGACGAUCCAUAGCUGGUCUGAGAUGAGGAUCAGCCACACUGGUACUGAGACACGGCCCAGACUCCGACGGAGGCAGCAGUGGGGAAUAUUGCACAAUGGGCGAAAGCCUGAUUCAGCCAUGCCGCGUGUAUGAAGAAGGCCUUAGGGUUGUAAAGUACUUUCAGUCGGGAGGCGUUACCGACAGAAGAAGCACCGGCUAACGCCGUGCCAGCAGCCGCGGUAAUAC
rnacentral:rRNA from 1 species